AACAAAAGAAAAAAAAAAAAGAACUAAUCUUUAGGUGUUGUGUACACUGUACAGUAGGACCUAAAAUAUUGAUGGAGCGCAAUAUGAAUAUUCAGGAAAUCAAAAUAGCUGGUAUCUUUGGCGUGCCUAUGUAGUAUUUUAAUUCAUAAAGCUAAAAGUUACACGUAUAUAAUAUAGUGUCACCUAACUAGGAAAGAAACCAAUACAUGUAAAUAAAUAAGAAAACCUUAAUCUAUUACUGCCUUACUCCCCAAUGUCAAGCCAAAGUUUCAGUUUCACGGACUUACAAGCCAAGCAAACAGCAACAAGUUUAAUCGCAGCCAAGCAAGCCCGUUGUUACUUGUUGCUACCACUAUAAAUCUGCAACUACGCAGUUAUAUUAGAAUCAAUCAAAAUAUAUAAUAUAGUACAUGAGUUGCUAUUGAAUUGAGGUGAGACAACGUACGUUUAUCCUUUCUUGUUUUGUUUUUUGAACCUUUGUUUGUUUUGGGAAACAGGAUUUGACUCAGGAUCGCCCAUCUUUGUUAAUCCCUGCAUUCAUUUGAAUUUGGAAGCGAUCACUUAGUAAAUCUCCAUAUAUACGAAGGCUCAAUUCCCUUAAGUCCGUAGCGGAAUUAAGUGAUGGUGAUGGACUUUUUGGUGACAAGAAGGGGAGGAGGAGGAAAUCUAAUAACACCUUCAGGACAAACUCCAAAUGAUGUGCUUGAUCUCUCAGUUAUAGACAGUUUAGCAGUACUUCGAUGCAAUGCACGUACGUUGCACGUGUUUAAAGGAGGAGACGCU
rnacentral:lncRNA from 1 species